UACGGAGGUGGCAAGCGUUGCUCGGAAUCACUGGGCGUAAAGGGCGCGUAGGCGGGGAGGUAAGUCGGGUGUGAAAUCCCUCGGCCCAACCGAGGAACUGCGCCCGAGACUGCUUCUCUUGAGUCCCGGAGAGGAAGAUGGGAUUCCCGGUGUAGCGGUGAAAUGCGUAGAUAUCUGGAGGAACACCGGUGGCGAAGGCGGCGUUCUGGACUGCAACUGACACUGAGAAACGAAAGCCAGGGUAGCAAACGGG
rnacentral:rRNA from 1 species